AGCGAACGCUGGCGGCAGGCUUAACACAUGCAAGUCGAGCGCCCCGCAAGGGGAGCGGCAGACGGGAGAGUAACACGUGGGAACGUACCUUUCAGUUCGGGACAACCAAGGGAAACUUUGGCUAAUACCGGAUACGCCCGUAAGGGGAAAGAUUCAUCGCUGAAAGAUCGGCCCGCGUCUGAUUAGCUAGUUGGUGGGGUAAUGGCCCACCAAGGCGACGAUCAGUAGCUGGUCUGAGAGGAUGAUCAGCCUCACCGGGACUGAGACACGGCCCAGACUCCUACGGGAGGCAGCAGUGGGGAAUAUUGGACAAUGGGCGCAAGCCUGAUCCAGCCAUGCCGCGUGGAUGAUGAAGGCCUUAGGGUUGUAAAGUCCUUUUAACGGGGAAGAUAAUGACGGUACCCGUAGAAUAAGCCCCGGCUAACUUCGUGCCAGCAGCCGCAGUAAAAC
rnacentral:rRNA from 1 species